GCCGUUGAUCCGACCUCCGCCGUCACGGCUGGAUCGACGCCUCCGGAAAAGGACCUACCGGCGGAUAAAGACAUUGACGAUGACGAAAACGACGAAGACCCUGUGCAGGAUUUCGGCGAAGAUGAGGACAAUGAGGUCAUCGUGAAACCGGACGAGGAAAUUGCAGCUGCUGCGGCUGCGGCCGCGGCCGAGUUGGCUGCGGCGCAGGACGAAAAUGCGGACCUUUCGCCGGAAGAAAUUGUCCUCUCGAUGGUGUGAUUUUAGGCAAUCCAAUUGGAGUCUCUCGCGACAUACUCUUGCAAACCAAAAAUGAAAAGUUAGCAAACAAACAAAAUGCAAAGCGCUUAUCGCUUGAACUGUUUGGAUGCAAUCGUAAGUAAAGCUACUACUUCUACUGGAAAAAGGAACCGAAAUCCAAAUUUAGACUUAUACAAAUUGCCGUAUUUAGGGAAACUCUCUGCCUGUUGAAGGUGGAAUACGCUGAAGACAGGACUAUAAAAAUAUUACAAAAAAAAAAACUGAGAGAAAGCCAAGCUUGAUUACAAACGAUAUCAAACUGAAAUAAAAACACAUACACAUGAUUAAAAUAUAAUUACAUGAAUUAGCCAUAAUACCAAUAAAGAGAAGGGAUUUUCUGAUUCCAAUAAAGUUUCUUUUACUGAUAGGGACUAACUGUUUAUUUAUUUAUUGAAAACGAAGCUAUUUCAAGACACCAGUGUUUAUGCUGUGCUGAUUGUAUGUUAUAUCUCGGAAGUUCCCUCACUUAUUGGUUUAUUUCAUUAUCUAAAAAACAUGUACUGCAAGUCAAAACCCAGAUUUGCUUGUUUUAGUGGUGAAACAAAUCCAAAUCAUUGUUUUUUUAUUAUCUUUUAUUUAAAUAACGAAUACGCUUUUCCGGAUUACUUUAAGCGAUAAACUGUGAGUAGGAUUUACGCAUUGAGACUUGGACUUGGAAAAUAACCCAACAUUUAUACUGUCUCGGAGUGAUGAACACGGUUUUUUGGAGCACUUCCAGUUUAGUGUCGAGGGCAGUAAAUACACACUCCUAGUUAUAAAUCUAUUGGAAGGAAAUAUAAAGUACAUUAGAAGCCGAAAUUAUACAAGAAAAAAAAACCCAACUUAUAUGGAUAUUAUGUAUUGUACUAGUAAUACCUAUUAAUAAAUUUUAUUAAAUGAAACGAAA